CGUAAAUGUGCGCCUUUUUUCAAUGCUGAUUUGAAGGUCAUUGAGAAAACUAGAGAAAUGUCGAAGUUUUUUCCCCGCAAACAUCCUUUCUGAAUUUAAAAGUAAUCCUCGAUGUAAUCAUCUAGUUUUUUAAAAGUAUCUGUAAUCUGAUUACAAUAUUUUAGCUGGUAACGGAUUACAGUUGCCGUUUUUUGUAAUCUCAGUGCAAGAGGUGUCACGACAGACCCUGGUUCAAUUCCAGGCUGUUUCACAACCGGCCGUGAUUGGGAGUCCCAUAGGGCAGCGCACAAUUGGCCCAACGUCGUCCGGGUUUGGCUGGGGCAAUCACAAGGAAAGGAUGGCCAGCCACACAGGAGGGUGAUUUUCACUACAGAGGAGGAGGCCGUGCUGACGGAGAUCAAUGCUGGCCAUUUCGGAGUGAAGCGCAUCAUUGGCAAAAUAAACCUUCUUCUGGAGUGGGAUUGUCAAGGAUGUGGACAGCUGGGCAAGUGAAAUAACCUUUUGUUUAUCAAUCACAUUCUAUUAUAUCUGAAAAUGACUAUCAUAUCAGAGAACACACAAUGUUUCAAUGUGCCACGUUGUGCCUAAAGGUCAGUACCCUGUCUAGUCUGCCAGAAGUUUGAGAGGGUGAUGACUGUGGCGCCAGAGUUAAAGCCCAUCACUUGUUUCACCGUGGCACAUGAUUGGUCAGCCCAUCAGUUAUUUCACCGUGGCACAUGAUCGGUCAGCCCAUCAGUUAUUUCACCGUGGCACAUGAUCGGUCAGCCCAUCAGUUGUUUCACCGUGGCAUAUGAUCAGUGCAGUGAUCUGUGAGCUGCUUGUAUGAUAUCCAUCAAGGACGAGACUGGCGAGGACACCUCCAAGGCGAUGAUGGACAUCUUCAAAACCCACGGUUCUCCUGAGGUCAUCUUGAGUCACCGAGGUCGUGAACUCUGGAACAAGGUUUGGAUGAACUGACCAACCAGACCCUCAAGACUACCAUGGGCAAGUCCCUUGACGAGUACCAGGAACGGUGGGAGAACAACCUGAAGGUAAUUCUCUUUGAACACAACAGCAGCAUCCAGGAUUCCACCGAGUACUCGCCCUAUCGCCUGCUGUACGGACGUGAGCCGUAGCUGUUAGUGAGAUCACUGAAAUUCCACCUGAUGUGAUGGAGGUUGUUGAACCAGAUCAGAAUUCCUUCCAGGACCACGUUCAGGCACGGCUGAGAAGAAUGUGGAGGUUUUUGACCAGGUGAGACUGAACAUGGACAAGGCACAGGAGAAACAAAAGGAGAGCUACUGGAGGAGAAUCAAAAAGGGAACCAAGUGCUCGACAUCGAAUGACUUGGCUUGCAAGAAGGUCGAAAGGAAGACGAGACCUGGGAAACCUCUGCUCUUUCGCUCCUAGCUAGGGUGACCAUCCGUUAAGCUGAAUAUAAAAAUCUCAGAUAAUAACUAUUUACAUUUGCACACAAAAUAACCUGAAGCUAGUUUUAGUUUUCACUUUGUCUUCCAAGGGUUACCUCGGUGGAAGCCAACAAUCUUCUACAGUUGGAACAGUUGGACGGUCAACCACUGAAAGCUCUGUCGCCCUACGCUUCGGUGAAGCCCAAUAGACAAAGACCAUCGACUGUCCGAGCCACCCAGGAUGGGUCCACCAGAGCCAGUGAUUUUGGAACAGUCUGACUUUCUGUGCUCUGAGUCUGAGGGGGACCAGCUUAACUUCAAAAAACAGUUGAAAAGACCUAGGAGUUCUGCCGAACACCCAGACGUGGAUCUACCUAAUGUCCUCCAUUACCAACCACCCUCCAACAAUUACAUAAUCUACAGCUACUGUUACUGUUAUGUUGUCAUUAUCUGUGAAUAAAGUUUUCUUGCUCUAUCAUACUGGGUACAUAAAAUGUGAGAUACACAGGUGAACUAAAAACACUUGCACUGCAAACACUCAGAACAAAGAGAGCAUCAGUGCGUGAACUUUGCAGUCUCCCUCUUCAAGUCCCUCUUCCGGCUGCCUGUUGAAUGGCAGAACCUCCCACCCACACAGCACCC
rnacentral:lncRNA from 1 species